GAAAAAGAAAAUAGAGAAGCCCUGUGAAGAGAUGCGUUCGGCGUCCGAGAGCUUCAAUGCUUCGACGGCGAAGGGCACCACAUAGUCCACCCAUCGAAGACCCAACGGCGGAGGAUAAGAGGGAACCGACGCUCGAAUCUUGCCGUUGUUACCGGCGGCAUCGCCACUACCCGGUAUGGCGAGAUUGCGCGGCGCUCCAUGGCUUUGAAAUCCGCAGUCAGGAAUUUGUUGUUAUUGACUUCCUUUCGUGGCAGUCAUCGUUUAGCUUGAAGCACUAAACCUCAGAAUGGUGAGAGCUCCGUCCUCUAUCAUAAGCUUCAUCCGCCAUAGCUCUCCUGGUGCUCGCCUAGACCCAGCUGGCCAACUGCGAAAUCUCACCACUGAGAGCAAAGACGGGGAUUGUGACGGGAGUUAUAAGGACGUCAUCCAUGAAAUUUGUUUGAUUACUCGAAGAAGGCCUAGGUGGGAGCAUACUCUCCUCUCCGAAUUCCCUUCUUUAAAUUUCUCCGAUCCCCGGCUUUUCCAUUCAUAUAUGAAGCAUCAGAAUAAUGCUUUUCUCUCCCUGCGUUUCUUUCACUGGCUUUGUUCUCACUGUGGUUUCUCGCCCGAUCAUUCAUCUUGCAAUGCCCUUUUUGACGUCCUUGUGGACGCUAAGGCCUGCAACGCAGCAAAAUCUUUACUUGACCGCGAUGGAUUUACUCCCGAGCCUUCAUCUUUGGAGUGUUACAUCCAAUGUCUUAGUCGUGGUGAAAUGGUUGAGGAGGCAGUUAGCGUGUUUUGUAAGUUGAAAAAUGCUGGAUUUUGCCCAUCCGUUGCAACUUGGAAUGUGUCUCUAUCUGCUUGUUUGAAGACAGGGAGGACUGAUUUAGUUUGGACACUGUAUGAACAGAUGAUGGCAUCCGAUGUUAUAGCAAACAUUGAUGCUGAAACUAUAGGUUAUCUAAUUCAAGCCUACUGCGAUGAUAACAAAGUUUCUAAUGGUUAUGGACUUCUUCGACAGAUUCUGGAAGAUGGGCUGUGCCCUGACAAUAUUGUUUUCAACACACUUAUAUCUGGGUUCUGUAAGGAGGAGGAGUAUGCCCGAGUAUCUGAACUUUUACACAUUAUGAUUGCAAAAGGGCAUGGUCCUGACAUCUUUACGUAUCAGGAAAUCAUAAAUGGACUAAUUAAGAGAAGCAAGAACAUGGAAGCAUUCAGGAUCUUUAAUGAUCUUAAGGACAGAGGGUACUUCCCUGACAGGGUCAUGUACACAACAAUAAUUAAAGGCCUUUGUGAUAUGGGAUUUCUUGGAGAGGCUAGGAAGCUGUGGUUUGAGAUGAUUCGAAAGGGACUUCUUCCAAAUGAAUACACCUAUAGUGUAAUGAUAAGUAGGUAUUGUCGACUUGGCAAGUUUGAUGCGGCCAGGAAACUCUACAAGGAGAUGUGUGAUAAAGGGUAUGAAAAAACCACAGUUCCCUGCAACGCAAUGAUUUCGGGCUUGUGUUUGCAUGGAAGGACGGAUGAAGCUCAGAGAUUGUUUGAAGAAAUGUCUCAGAAGGGCAUUGUUUGUGAUAUUAUCACAUACAACUCUCUAAUUCGAGCCCUUUUAAAGCAAGGGAAGCUAGUUGAGACUACAAAACUAUUUCGUGUACUCCUGGCACAGGGCCUUGAGCCAUCAGCUUCUACUUUUACCGCCCUAAUUAGACGACUUUGUGAAGUUGGAGACACCCAAGAGGCAAUAAGGUUGUGGAAAGAUAUGGUUUGCAGAAAUUGGGAACCCACGGUCAGUACAUAUGAUUAUAUUGUAACUGGAUUAUGUGAACAAGAAUGUUUUACAGAAGCUAUGGAAUGGUUGUUAGAGGUGCUGAAUAAAAAGCUGAAACCACGGAAGCAGACUUUUGAGACCCUGAUUCAAUGUUUGUUAAAGAAAAAUAAGUUAGAUGACGUCUUAUUUGUUUUAGAUCUAAUGCUUACAAUAGGAUAUAUGCUACAAGAAAACAUGAUAAAGUCUUUAGUGAGGAAAUUUGGCGAGAAAAACUUCAGUUUUGCUGAAACAUGUUUGGAGAGGAUUUUAGAAAGAAAUUGAUAGAUCUGGCUUUUUGUGUUGUUUGUAUUUUCCAUUAUUAUUAGAGACCAUGAAGAAGGAUGUAUAGGGGUUUCAAUAACAUAUGAGAAAUCAUAAUCAUCUUGAAACUUCCCAUGAUGCAAUUGUUUAGUUCAUCGUGAAGGAGUGGUUAAUUAUGAAGAUAAUCUGUUCCGGCUGGAAGGAGAAAUUGUUUUUGUGAUAAGAAUCAGUCCUCAUUAAAAAAUUUCAUCACCUUUUGUUAUUUCCUAUUGCUUUAAUUCUAUGUUCAAAAUGCUGUGCAGAACGCCAGAACCCUUGAUCUUAUAGAUAUCAUGAGUUAUUUUCUUUUUUUCCCUUUAAUAAAUCGCUUGCCAUAAGCAUCUAGUUUCAUGUGCAUUUAAACUUAAGUACUCUACCGCCAUGCUGAAAAUAAGUCUGGUGUGAAUCUAGCAACUCGUUGAGAUUAUUGAAUUUUGGGUUUUUUUUUUUUCUUCCCCCUUUUCUCUCUGUUUUUCCUUUUUAAUACUUUUUAUUAUUAAGUGCUUGGUCUGGUUGGCCAACUGAGCAUAUGGCCUUGGAAAGUUUGUGAAUUUUCGGUUUAGGCAAACUAUUGAUUCUAAAUCUAUUGCCAGUGAAAACAAUUAUGCGAAUUAUGAAAGGGUUUUUGCUUGUUCAUGUGCCAUAACUUCAUUUACUUUUGAAAAGGUUGUGCUUCAGAGUUGAUCUUUUCUCGUGACAUUUUUGUUUCUUUGGACCUAAUGAUUUUAUUUUAUGCAUGGCAUUUUCUUUGUAUGGCGCUAUUGAACACUCAGGGGGAAAAUGACUAUUGAGAUUCAUUUCUACACUUUCCCUUCAUUUGCCUGCAACUUCAUGUGCAUCAGUGACAUUAGUAUGGUCAAAGAAUAUAACUACUUUUUGGUAGCUCUCUAGAGAUUUGAAGACCAGAUAUUUCUUAACUAAGAACUGAUUUGAAGUCAUUUGUUUGACAAUGCUAGUAGUCACCAUCCAAACUCAGAUUUUGGGUUAUAAUUUCCUGAUUUUAUGGAUUGAUUUCAUGUCGUUGAACAUCGUUAGUUGUUAUCAGCUUUUUGUGAUAAAACUGAAAUGGGUGAGUUAACAGUGUACAAUGAGGUUCUUGUCAUAUGCAGCUUUAGUGUGGGGCCUCUAGGUCAUGGCAUGGUGGUUUCCCUUGGUUACGAAUCAUGGAUAGGUUUUGAUUGUCAUGCCGGUACUCUGGUCAAUGUGAAAGGGGCUGCUUCGAAUAUAAGUUGCUGGAGAUUGCAGUAAACGGGCAGAUUCUUCACCUUCUCCUGCCACCCUUAAGCACAGAUUGUGGUUUUGACAAGGAGAAGUGAGAAUUAAGGAAUAUGCCAUUUUUUUAUUCAAAACUUUGCAUUAAUGUUAAAACAUCAUUUCAGAUUCAUAUAAUGAUAUCAGAUCUGAUGAAGGGGAUGCAUCAAUCAUUUUUUUUCCAACUUCCACUUCCUCUUGGUUCAGGUGUUUCGGCCUAAGGUAUUUGAAAGCUCCCCUAAUGUUUGUUAUUUUCCUGACUAUAUAUCAUAACUAUCUAUAGAAGCCAUUCCAAUGUACUUUCGAGAAAACUGCUUUGCAUUUUCAUUAUGGUCCUAAUUGAGUGCUUUGAAUACCUGCGCACUAGAAACUGUUCUGAUGUUGUAAUCAGGGCUGAGAGUAUAGCGAGAAGUAGACGGCUUUUAUCACAUCGUUCUUUUACUAGCAGAAAAGUUUUUAUGUGCAUACUCAAUUACUCAUGCUGUUCUCUACCUGCACACCUCUUGAAUCCAAUCCAUGGAGGUAUUACAAUUCUUUUUCCUGGAAUGAAGAGCCGAGCAUCGGAAAAGUAAACCGUAUGAUAGAAGUUAUCAUCUCUGAAUCUCUUGCAGCAUAUAUGCUUUUGUAUAUUGGAGUAACUGUAACAAAUUGUCUUUCUUUUUCGGACGUUAUUGUAUGAUGCAUGAUGCGGAACAAAGUAGGUCAUUUGUCGUGAUCAAUGGCCUAUAGAUAACAGCUCAUGGAUAAUUAAAUACUAAGCAGAUGUGGUCUGAAGCUUUGAGCAAAAGCCAGUGAAUGUAGACUGGCAUUAUUAUAAUAA